AUACGUAGGGUGCAAGCGUUAAUCGGAAUUACUGGGCGUAAAGCGUGCGCAGGCGGUUUUUUAAGAGAGUGGGGAAAUCCCCGGGCUCAACCUGGGAACUGCCAUUGUGACUGCAAGGCUGGAGUGCGGCAGAGGGGGAUGGAAUUCCGCGUGUAGCAGUGAAAUGCGUAGAUAUGCGGAGGAACACCGAUGGCGAAGGCAAUCCCCUGGGCCUGCACUGACGCUCAUGCACGAAAGCGUGGGGAGCAAACAGGAUUAGAUACCCUGGUAGUCCGCGCCCUAAACGAUGUCAACUGGUUGUUGGGGAUUUAUUUUCUCAGUAACGAAGCUAACGCGUGAAGUUGACCGCCUGGGGAGUACGGCCGCAAGGUUAAAACUCAAAGGAAUUGACGGGG
rnacentral:rRNA from 1 species